rnacentral:lncRNA from 1 species
CUUGUGUAGCCCCUGAAGGACUUAUAAGCCCCAGGGUGGCAUUGUCCCUGACUUUCUGGGCUUCUGCUGCUCUGGCUCAAACAAGAUUCUGGCUGAGCUUAUGAAUGUUGUUUAUAUAACCUCUGAACUCAUCUGCUUGCUAGGCUGGUGGCUGAAGUUAUUCAUUCAUUCAGCAGGCAUUUAACAAGCACUUUCUGCCAUGCCAGGCAUUCUGGUAGUGUUGUGAACUCAGAAACAAAAGAUGCAUUCCCUAGGUAAAGAAGUGACAGCUUAAUGGGAGGCCAAAGAAGGAAGAAUAGAAAAACAACAUUUCUAUUACAGUUGAAGUUGACAGAACCAACCACAGAAACCAGCCUGCCGUGAUACAAGGAGCAACUAUUUGAGCAGAGGAAGAUGCUACUAUGAACCCUUGUUGCCCUAUUUUCCACUCAGUGGCCCUUAUAGAAAGCUGUUUGGGAACAGCAUCAUUAGCGGGUCACUGGAAUCUACAAAGCCACCAUAACCACUACUUUCCAGCUUGCGCCUGUGGUAUCUUCAUGAAUUUUCUGCCAUAAUUGCACUGACCUCUUGCUUUAUCAAACAGACAAGGACAUCUGAUUCUUCCAGCCCUCAGUACUUCUCAGAAAUACAAUCUUCUGACCUGUCUGAAUUUCUCUGGAAGAGAACUUACCAGUCCUCUGGAGCCUGUGACAGCAGCUUAUAAAGGAAAGUAAUAAAAGAAAGUGGAGGUGAACCAUUUUGGGCCCCUUUUCAAGAGGGAGGGUAGGUGUGGUUUUUGAGAUCAAGUCCAUUUGUCUAAAAUUUCUUCCUCCUCUUAUUUUGAUUAGAAGUCUUCUCUGACAUCCCAUUCCUUUCCUAAGGUCUGGUGGAGUAUACCAAAGGAAGAACUUCUGGAAGCUUUCCUUUUUUUUUCUCAACAGAGAUUGUUUCUAUAUCCUGUGUUGUGAGUAGAAUGUAGUAGGCACAUUAGAGGCCUUCUUUCUCUUAUUUCAUAUAACUGAGGAUUUUGAUGUAUGGAUGCUAUCUAUGGGGAAGGAGAUAUAUGGCUUUGAAAAACAUAUUUGGAAGCAAAAAUAUUGGGAGCCUGGGCCCAUCUAGAAGUCUGACUCUAAUUGGUAGUCCUCUAAAUGAUGAAAUACCCAAAUUCCCACUUUGGCAUCUCUUGGU